AUUGAACGCUGGCGGCAUGCCUUACACAUGCAAGUCGAACGGUAACGCGGGGCAACCUGGCGACGAGUGGCGAACGGGUGAGUAAUGCAUCGGAACGUGCCCAGUAGUGGGGGAUAGCCCGGCGAAAGCCGGAUUAAUACCGCAUACGACCUACGGGUGAAAGGGGGGGAUCGCAAGACCUCUCGCUAUUGGAGCGGCCGAUGUCUGAUUAGGUAGUUGGUGGGGUAAAGGCCUACCAAGCCGACGAUCUGUAGCUGGUCUGAGAGGACGACCAGCCACACUGGGACUGAGACACGGCCCAGACGCCUACGGGAGGCAGCAGUGGGGAAUUUUGGACAAUGGGCGCAAGCCUGAUCCAGCCAUGCCGCGUGCGGGAAGAAGGCCUUCGGGUUGUAAACCGCUUUUGUCAGGGAAGAAAUCUUCUGGGUUAAUACCUCGGGAGGAUGACGGUACCUGAAGAAUAAGCACCGGCUAACUACGUGCCAGCCGCCGCAGUAAGAC
rnacentral:rRNA from 1 species